CCUACGGGUGGCAGCAGUGGGGAAUAUUGGGCAAUGGGCGCAAGCCUGACCCAGCAACGCCGCGUGAAGGAAGAAGGCUUUCGGGUUGUAAACUUCUUUUCUCAGGGACGAAGCAAGUGACGGUACCUGAGGAAUAAGCCACGGCUAACUACGUGCCAGCAGCCGCGGUAAUACGUAGGUGGCAAGCGUUAUCCGGAUUUACUGGGUGGAAAGGGCGUGUAGGCGGGACUGCAAGUCAGAUGUGAAAACCAUGGGCUCACCCUAUGGCCUGCAUUUGAAACUGUAGUUCUUGAGUACUGUAGAGGCAGACGGAAUUCCUAGUGUAGCGGUAAAAUGCGUAGAUAUUAGGAGGAACACCAGGGGCGAGGGCGGUCUGCUGGACAGCAACUGACGUUGAGGCGCAAAAGCGUGGGGAGCAAACAGGAUUAGAUACCCUUGUAGUC
rnacentral:rRNA from 1 species